GGGAAGGUGGCUCAGUGGUAGAGUGCUUGCCUCGCAUGCAUGAGGUCCUGGGUUCAAUUCCUCAGUGCCA
rnacentral:tRNA from 1 species